rnacentral:rRNA from 1 species
UGGGGAAUUUUGGACAAUGGGGGAAACCCUGAUCCAGCCAUCCCGCGUGUGCGAUGAAGGCCUUCGGGUUGUAAAGCACUUUUGGCAGGAAAGAAACGUCAUGGGUUAAUACCCCGUGAAACUGACGGUACCUGCAGAAUAAGCACCGGCUAACUACGUGCUAGCAGCCGCGGUAAUACGUAGGGUGCAAGCGUUAAUCGGAAUUACUGGGCGUAAAGCGUGCGCAGGCGGUUCGGAAAGAAAGAUGUGAAAUCCCAGAGCUCAACUUUGGAUCUGCAUUUUUAACUACCGGGCUAGAGUGUGUCAGAGGGAGGUGGAAUUCCGCGUGUAGCAGUGAAAUGCGUAGAUAUGCGGAGGAACACCGAUGGCGAAGGCAGCCUCCUGGGAUAACACUGACGCUCAUGCACGAAAGCGUGGGGAGCAAACAGG